rnacentral:tRNA from 1 species
AAUGAUUGGAAAAAGUUUUAAAAGCUUUUAACUAAGCUUUCCAAAAUUUAAGAUCUUUAAGUUUCUUUGUGCAAUCUCCAAGAUUUUUUUA